ensembl:lncRNA
GGAGGAGAGAGACUGAAAGGGGCAUGAGGAAGGGAAGGAGGGAUUUUAGGAGAGAGAGAAAGAAGUUAAUCCAAACAGACAUGUGGCAGGCUAUUUUUACGAGUGUCCCCUCAGCCAUUAUCUCUCUGUUAUGGUUUAAGGAUAAAUACAACCCAGGACUACACAAUAUGGAGGGAAAUGUAUGUGUGUGUCGUGUCUGUUUGUGUACCUCUUUCUCUCUCUCUAUCCGAAAACGAAGUGAUGGCGCUGACGGAGAAGGGCGACAUCUUACAAGUUCCAACCCAACUUUGCUAUAUAGUUACGAGUCUAGUUGGUUUAGCCACAGAAAAAGCCAGCAACCUUCCCGCUAGCCAUGAUUGGCUGAGAUAAUGAGUGGGCUGGACAUGCCAAGAGAUGAGUUUGAAUUGGUCAGUGUUGCAUCUUGUGUCUAUAAAAUGAACUGCUCGUAAUGAGCAUAUCAUCCUACUGCGGGUUUUUUUUGUCCGAAAGAUAUUACGUUAGCCAUGGAGAACUGCAAAUAUGUUGCUUCUGCUCUCAAUAACAUUUACUGCCCUGAAUUUAUCAGGCGCUAUCGACAAAGGUCAGUGGGGAAAAAAGUUGUGAUGGACUACUUUCUGCACGACGAUCGUGCCACGCAAUGCUGACUCUCUCAUUUCAUAACACGUAUUGAAAUCAGUGGAACGCAACUGGCCAAACCAGCUGUUCAAACUAAACGGAAACAGCACAGGAUGUCUGAUGAAAGGGGUUGCAGUCUGCCGUGAAGCUUUCAUCCAUGUAUACAGGCCACACCAAGUUUGCCCCCGACUGACUGGUGCUUCAGCCUCAUCAAGCAGCGCUUCAGAAAGACCAGAGUGAACACUUUGUAAGAGAUUGCUGGUGUUGUGAAGGACAGCACUGUGACAGGGGUCAACAUCCCACAGCUGGUUGGACUGGAGGAUGGAACGGUGCUGGUGGAAAGCUAUGGUUGGCAACAACACCUGACUCCGUUCUUCAGGCCGCUGCCACAGAUAAAAGAAGUACCAGCACUUCAGCUUCGAUGUUCUGGAGCAUUGUCACCAAGGAGCGUUUGGACUCAGUCAAUCAAUCAAUCAAAUGUAUUUAUAAAGCCCUUCUUACAUCAGCUGAUAUCACAAAGUGCUGUACAGAAACCCAGCCUAAAACUCCAAACAGCAAGCAAUGCAGAUGAGGAAGCACAGUGGCUAGGAAAAACUCCCUAGAAAGGCCAAAACCUAGGAAGAAACCUAGAGAGGAACCAGGCUAUGAGGGGUUGCGGGACCAGGUUUCAGGACCAGGUUUCAGGACCAGGUUUCAGGACCAGGUUUCAGGACCAGGUUUCAGCUGCUGCACAACGCUGACAUCCUUCCUCCCAUAGAUGGUCUGCCUGUACAAGCUGCACCUGGACUGGACACAGCUAGACAAAGUUAUCUUUUUGAGAAGAUCAGGGAGUUUUGUGACGAAGAGGCUAUGGGACAUCACGUGCCCUGCACCAAAGUCAAGGGCAGGACAGAAACAGGCUCUCCGAAUAUAGAUUCCCUUGUUCAUGCGUGGUUCGGACAGACCGGUCAUCAGCACUAUCUGCAGUGCCUCUAUUCACAUGACUCUCUCCUAACACACACGCCAUACGUUGCUGCUGCUAUUAUUUAUCCUGCUGCUCAGCCACUUUACCCCUGAUUGUAUGCAAAUAACUACCUCGUCUAUCACUGAUAUCGUUAUUGAUAUUGUUCUUGUAGUGUAUAUGUUAUUUAUAUUGACAAUAUCUAUUUCUGAUAUUGAUACUAUACAAGUCACCAUUUGGCUGUACCG